AUUGAACGCUGGCGGCAUGCUUUACACAUGCAAGUCGAACGGCAGCGGGGAGGAGCUUGCUUCUCUGCCGGCGAGUGGCGAACGGGUGAGUAAUACAUCGGAACGUGUCGAGAAGAGGGGGAUAACCACCCGAAAGGGUGGCUAAUACCGCAUAAAUUCUGAGGAAGAAAGCUGGGGACCUAGGAAUAGGCCUAGCGCUUUUUGAGCGGCCGAUGUCGGAUUAGCUAGUUGGUGGGGUAAAGGCUCACCAAGGCGAAGAUCUGUAGCGGGUCUGAGAGGAUGAUCCGCCACACUGGGACUGAGACACGGCCCAGACUCCUACGGGAGGCAGCAGUGGGGAAUUUUGGACAAUGGGGGCAACCCUGAUCCAGCCAUGCCGCGUGUAUGAAGAAGGCCUUAGGGUUGUAAAGUACUUUUGUUAGGGAAGAAAAGUCAGCUGUGAAUAAUGGCUGAUACUGACGGUACCUAAAGAAUAAGCACCGGCUAACUACGUG
rnacentral:rRNA from 1 species